GACGAACGCUGGCGGCGUGCCUAAUACAUGCAAGUAGAACGCAGUUGCGAACGGGUGAGUAACGCGUAGGUAACUGCCUCAUAGCGGGGGAUAACUAUUGAAAACGAUAGCUAAUACCGCCUACUGUGAGAUUGACCUGAGUUUUAUUAGCUAGUUGGUGAGGUAAAGGCUCACCAAAGAGACGAUACAUAGCCGACCUGAGAGGGUGAAAGGAAACACUGGGACUGAGGAACGGGCAAGACACCCAAGGGAAUGAGCAGUAGGGAAACUUUGGCAAUGGGCGGAAGGCUGACCAAGUAAAGCCGCGUGAAGUAAGUAGGGUUUUAGAAACUAAAGCCCUGGUGUUAAGGAAACGGUACCUAACCAGAAAGAGACGGCUAACUACGUGCCAGCAGCCGAGGUAAUAC
rnacentral:rRNA from 1 species